UCUAUAAAAAUAAGUCUGGUUUGUUUUUGUGAUAAUGACGAGGUCGUAGACAGCCCCUCAACCACUGAGAUGACGAAGUCCUCCUUCACCUCUUCUUCAUCUGCUGCUUCUAUUUUGGGUAUAGAGAGAAGAUCAAAUGUAGUGAAUAACAGAAGAGGAAGAGGACCUUGCAUUUGUGCCUUGGUGCAGAUCUCAGGGAUGUUGUUUGUUGUGUUGAAUCUGAUGGGGCUGCUGUUUGGAAGGAUUAUCACUGUUUUUUAAAUCAUGAUUUGUAAUAACUAUAUAAUUAAGCACAAUAGGAUUGUAUUUCUUUGAGAAUCAUGUUCUGUAAUAAUUAUUAUUGCUUGCAGCUUC